rnacentral:rRNA from 1 species
GAUGAACGCUAGCGGCAGGCAUAAUACAUGCAAGACGAACGGUAACUUGAGUAGCAAUACUUGAGCUAGAGUGUCGUACGGGUGCGUAACACGUAUGCAACCUACCUUUUACAGGAGUAUAGCUCCCCGAAAGGGGAAUUAACCCUCCAUAAUAUCAUUGGAUGGCAUCAUUUGAUGAUUAAAACUGAGGUGGUAAAAGAUGGGCAUGCGUCUGAUUAGCUAGUUGGUAGGGUAAAGGCCUACCAAGGCGACGAUCCGUAGCGGGUCUGAGAGGAUGAUCCGCCACACUGGGACUGAGACACGGCCCAGACUCCUACGGGAGGCAGCAGUGGGGAAUUUUGGACAAUGGGCGCAAGCCUGAUCCAGCCAUGCCGCGUGAGUGAAGAAGGCCUCGG